rnacentral:rRNA from 1 species
UACGAAGGGGGCUAGCGUUGCUCGGAAUUACUGGGCGUAAAGCGCACGUAGGCGGCUUCUUAAGUCGGUGGUGAAAUCCUGGAGCUCAACUCCAGAACUGCCUUCGAUACUGGGAAGCUCGAGUCCGGGAGGGGCGAGUGGAAUUCCUGGUGUAGCGGUGAAAUGCGCAGAUAUCAGGAGGAACACCGGUGGCGAAGGCGGAUCUCUGGGCCUUACCUGACGCUCAGGCGCGAAAGCUAGGGGAGCGAACUGG